rnacentral:lncRNA from 1 species
GUCUCCCCUGUAUUUGCACGGCGUCGCACAAGUACAAGAGUAUAAUUUUACUAUGCCAAAUAUAACCACACGUAUGAAUAUCCACAGAUAAUCAUACACCAUUCACAACUAUAUUUAUUUAGUCAUAAAUCCACAUAUAUUAUUUAAAACGUUUACUACCUGAAAACUGGUUUUGAAAUACUAAGUUACGAAAGAUCCGAGAAAACCUUUUAAAAACUAUUUUUCACACGAAAACCUUUUUCUUUUUAAAAUCACGCUACCAUGAGGGGUAGAAAACCAUUUUCAUUUUACAAAACCAUAAAUCCUUUAUUCAUUUCCAGAAAUCCAAAUUAUUCAAUUGUAAUAAUAAACUGAACCAAUAACUGUCUAAGUCAAAUAAUCCGAAAUAAUGAAAGUAACAGCAAAAGUAAACAAACCGGGGCGGAAGCUCUAUCGACUACU